GGGCCCGCACAAGCGGUGGAGUAUGUGGUUUAAUUCGAUGCAACGCGAAGAACCUUACCAGGGUUUGACAUCCUGCGAAUCUCUUGGAAACGAGAGAGUGCCUUCGGGAACGCAGUGACAGGUGGUGCAUGGCUGUCGUCAGCUCGUGUCGUGAGAUGUUGGGUUAAGUCCCGCAACGAGCGCAACCCACGUCGUUAGUUGCCAGCAUUUAGUUGGGCACUCUAGCGAGACCGCCGGUGAUAAACCGGAGGAAGGUGUGGAUGACGUCAAGUCAUCAUGCCCCUUACAUCCUGGGCUACACACGUACUACAAUGCUACGGACAAAGGGCAGCAAGUUCGCGAGGACAAGCA
rnacentral:rRNA from 1 species